GUUACAUUUGAGUCUUACUUCCUGUAGAGAGGCAGAAAUUGCGCCAAAAUUUGAAUGAGAAUAUACUACUGAUUAUACGAUGUGAGGAGAGAGGCCAUAUUGUGAAAAGAGCUCACUUCACCUCAGCUGUUUUCACAAAAGAAAUUCUAUCACUAGAUGAUGCCCACUCAAUACAAUAACACUGUGUGGUGUAUGAUAUGUUGUACAAAGUUUGCGUAGAAGUGGAAGACUACAAGCUUAUCGGGACAACUUACAGAUUUCAGAGAACUUGAUCAAACGCCUUCAUGCAACUAUUCCUUGAUGGGAACUUGUGACAUCAUGCCAAGUCCCUGUCAGAAGUAGGGUGAAUCUGUCACACCCGAGAAGCUGUUCCUGCCCUGCAGCUGGAUCCACAGGUGUUUUCCAGUUGGAGUACGUGUGUGUUUUGUGUAACUGCUGCUCUCAUAACUCGGUGUACCCGUGGAAAGUGAUUGUCCUUGGCAUUCCUGUUUGAACUAUAAACCUGGCUAUUUAAUACAAUGCUAUUAAAGUGUUUGAUAUCUGUUCUAUUAAUAAAGUUGUGACUGAUCUUA